CAUGUAACUGUGUGAUGAGAGUCUCGCAAUCUUACAAUUGAGUCUGCACACGGGAGAGCGGCCAGGCAGGUGACGUCAGAGAGUGAAUUAUCAGACCGACCAAUGGCCUCCAAGCGUCCGCAGCAGCCAAUUAGAGUGCGCUCAGCGGUUAGGCUCGCCUGCCAGCCAGCCAGUGUGUCGAGGGAGCAGACAGCAGAGACCAGCGGACAUGGCGAGGCUACGGACUGUGUUGCUUCUCGCGCUGCUCUUCGUCGCUUCGUGCCACCUCUUCUCAGCAGCCGGCGCUGGUGCAGUGAGGAUGAAGCGCGGGACCUGUGACAACAGCAUCGACGCCGUGAACACGGUGGCAUGCAACACCUACUGCGUGGCCCAGCUCAACGGCUACUCUGGGGGCAAGUGCUUCCUUGGCACCUGCAUCUGCCACAAGUAGACAUCUUCUCCCUCUGUGGACUAACAGACAAGUGUCGCUAUCAUUAUGCCCAUACGUUGUAAUGUUGCUUUUGUAACUGUACUUGUAGUCAUCAGUCCCAAGGGUGGCGUAAUGCUGUAGUGGCAGAUUUAGAGUGUAUUAUUUGCAAAUUAGUAACAAAUAAAUAACAACAAAUACUUAGAAGAA